rnacentral:misc_RNA from 1 species
UCACCCCCUCAAGCCCCGUGCUUGGUGUUGGACGGCCGGUCGAGCGAUCGACCCCUCCUAAAGACAAUGACGGCGGCCUGUGGUUCCCCCGGUACACUGAGCUUUUAACGGAGCACGUACCGGACCAGGGCACCCGGGACCCGGUCCUCUCCUUUCACUAGGAAACUUCUAA